CAUGCAAGUCGAACGUGAUUCUGUGGAAAUUCUUUCGGGAAUGGAAAUGAAAUGAAAGUGGCGAACGGGUGAGUAACACGUGAGCAACCUACCUUACACAGGGGGAUAGCCGUUGGAAACGACGAUUAAUACCGCAUGAGACCACAGAAUCGCAUGAUAUAGGGGUCAAAGAUUUAUCGGUGUAAGAAGGGCUCGCGUCUGAUUAGCUAGUUGGAAGGGUAAAGGCCUACCAAGGCGACGAUCAGUAGCCGGUCUGAGAGGAUGAACGGCCACAUUGGAACUGAGACACGGUCCAAACUCCUACGGGAGGCAGCAGUGGGGAAUAUUGCACAAUGGGGGGAACCCUGAUGCAGCGACGCCGCGUGAGCGAAGAAGGUUUUCGAAUCGUAAAGCUCUGUCCUAUGAGAAGAUAAUGACGUAU
rnacentral:rRNA from 1 species